UGGUACGGUGUGUAUUCUGGGUGAAAUUCACGGUGAAUUUCAUUUCCCAAAAUUCAUUCUCUUCCCCACGUCUUGGAGUAACCUAUUCCAUCCGCAUUGACCCUAAUUCAUGAAUUUCAAAUUUAUUCUCUCCCACGUAUUUGAAUGCCCAAUUCCAUCUGGAUCUCUCUCUCCCCACCCUCCCCUCGCAGCUCCAAACCCUAAGAAUUCUCUGCAAACCCUAGUUUUGUGCGAUGGCGGUAAGAAGGUCAAGCUCUGCAACUGCUCGAAGCACUUCAGGUCAAUAUGUCAAAGAUAGAUGAUGCACAAAGACGAUGAAUGUGCGCUACUUUGAAUUUGAAUGAAAAUUAUGAAUAAACAGGAUUUGGAAGAUUAUGCCUCAUAAGGAAAAUAUUUAGUCUUCCAUAA